GUGAGAACUAUAUAAAUAUAGUUCCAAGUGGGUACGGCCACCUAAGGGAAGAGCUCGACCCACCAGGUCUAAAGGAGGCACUGAAACAUGUUAGUCCAACAAAUAAUCAUAAUAAUUUAUGCAGAUAUUAAAACAUGUAUGCCUCACGAAAUGCAAUAUGCAAUCCCUGUAAUCAUGCAAGUAGGUUACUUUAACGCUACUUAUGUUCUUAAUCAUUAUUUACUCUUUGCCAUUUAAUGUUCACUUUUAGCUCUUAGCUAUUCUUUACUUGUACCCUUUCUUUACUCUUCCGCUACUCUUUACUCUUUACACUCUGUUGCACUUUCUAACUGGCCAUUCUUUCCUAAGGUUUCUCUUACCUUAGUUCUCUAUGCCACCCGACUCGGUCUUGAGUCAAUCAAUCGCGGAUAGUCCGCGCACUGUCUAGCUUGAGGUGAAGGAACUCUCACAUGCACCUCAGCUGGCAACAGCUCACCGUACUCCUGUCCUAGCCGUCUGGCGGCGAACGGAUCGUACCUCACCCAACAACGGCCUAGGUCUAUGACUUAGCCACCCGGCGGCGAAAUCGUCGCACACGCCACGACAGUGGUUCAGUAAACAGGCGGUAGGAUCCACAAACUGGCUAACCAUCCAGCGGCGAAAUCGUCGCACACGCCACGACAAUGGUUCUCUAGCCCCUGGGCGGCGAAAUCGUCGCACACACCCGACACCACUUUGGGUGUAUCCAUUUAGCCUUGGGAUUCCGGAAUCCAUAUCACAUUAACCAAGGGUUUACUCUUUUACCCUAUGUCGACGACCUUUCUAGGUCUAAACCAAUCAUUUUUGUGUGGUCUUUCUACCACUAUAAUCCAUAACUUAGUCCAACUUUACUAAGUGUCACUAUAUGUCAUAACCUAGGUUCAUUUACACUAGGUUCAUUCCAUGUCCAACCUAUAUCUAAUAACACUAGGUUCAUGCCACUCGAUCUAUUUAUUAUCCUAGUUAUCCACGUCUAGGAUUAUAGUUUACACGUUUCAUGUUCAAUUUACAUGACUUUAGUCUAUGUAUCAACAUUCAUAUAUCAUUUAUCAUUCAUAUGUUCAUAUACCGACAUUCCUAUACAUUUAGCAUGAACUACAAUGCAUUCGUAUGCGUCUAGUAUGUUCGUCAUAUGACAAUCAUCAUAUAUCAUCUAGCAUGAGAUUCACAUUCAUAAGUAUUUAUUCAUAUGUCUCUAGCAUUCACUUUCAUACAUGUUUAAUCUUAUGCAACUAGCAUUCAUAUUCAUAUGUCGAUUAUCAUAAUAUGUCAACAAUCAUAUAUGCUCUAACAUCUAUGUAUUAUCCUACAUCUAGUUGUCCCCAUAUCUAGGUAUUAUUGCUUCACAAUCGCAUUGUAAUUGUCGGAUUUCUAAUCAAUUAGAGUUAUGACCCCAUAUUCUGCUUGUAUGAUUCUAACAGGGCUCACAUUAUGUUUCAUAAUCAUUGCCAUCAUCGGGUAUUAUCCACACAGAUAUUAGACAUGCAUAUUCUAAGGUAGAUAACAAUGAUUGAUAGCAAUACGAUUUAAGCCUUUCAUAUUAUUACUCAGCAAUCUACCAACUAUACAUGUAUCGUCAAAAUAAUUAUACUUUACUUUGGCAUGGAAGUGACGCUAAUUCACUUCGGUAAAAACACAAACGCCAUCUUUACUCGUCAUAACGGAAUGCGAGAAUCCACUUCCCGCACUUUCCCAAGAAUCACGAACUCCACACCGCGAUAAUUGAAGACAAAAACGUCUUUGGCGAUAUCUUUGCGAGGCUCGACGAGUUGCCGAACCGACUCGCGCAAACGCUUCGCUUUAACCGCUCAUUAGGUUGUAAUGCGAUCUCAUUUCCAAGUUAGGGCCUUGCAAUCCUCGCAAAGUGCAUUAUCCGAUGGUUAAAGCUGCGUCAUAUAAAUGUUACAAUACAAACUCUAUAAAAUAUAUAGAGUAAUUUGCAUUUCGCUAACCAAAACUUCAACUAAGUACUUACAUCAAGAAGACUAAACUCUGUCAUUACUAAUUCUAUAGUUUCUCACCCUUUUUACAACUUGACAUAUCACUGAGGCUUAGCCAUAUUAUAUCAUCAACCUAUAGCUUUAAUAGGUGUAAUCUAUACAUACCGCACUCUAAAAUUGAACCACGUCAUCCAUGGAAUUUAAACCUCUUUAUACAAGCGAUUAACAUCCGCCUGUCAGAAAUUAAAGCUAAUUUACCCCAGAUUUGCCUGCUUUAACAUACAAUUCACAAGACACUAUUCAUACAUAUAUGUAUGUGUAAGCUUCGCAUCAGUUUUCUAAAUCUUUUUUCAUGGUUUAAGGGUUCGCACAUGCUCUAAAUCUGCAGCUUAAAGAAACUUCUUGGAAUGUAAAGUAGGUAACCUCAAACCCAGGAAUUAACUUCACCAUACUCAGUUUUCACUUCUAAACAACAAUUUACAAGUAUACAAUCAAUAGCAUGUUCCCCUGAAAUUCCCUUAGGCCAUUCAAUGGUAUUGAGGUUCUCUAAUACUUAAAACGCUUAAUUUUAGAAUCCUUGGAAGGUAACUACACAAUCUAAACAGAAAAACAUCACUCUUGUUCAGAAAUUUCACUAAUUUAUCUCUGCUCCAUUCCUAUCAUAACUCACACUCAAUGGGUUCAUAGUGCAAUUUUCAGGUUUCUACACCCUCGCAACGUCAGCAUACAGUUCAAAAUCCUACAUCUUCUAAUGUAGUAAAUGAACCAUUUCAUAACCCAAUCAGCUUACUUAAUUCGAUUGCUCCAACACCAAAAAAAACGCUCUACCAAGUCCUUUCUUCUAGCUCACACCAAGCAAAGCUGCACUUCAUUUCUUCUUAGCUCAAUCAAGAGAAAUCUGCACUUCUUGCUUUCCGCAGCUCCUACUUCAAGCUCCCUCAAAUACCUUCUGCAAUUCGAACAGCAAGGAACUCCCUCAAGUCUCUCUCGGAUUCACAUCUCCGACCGGUUUCUCCCAUUACUGGUCGCAGCUUCCACAGCUAACAACCAUCAAGAAAACCUAACUCCUCCUAUCAAGUCGGUUUAUCGAGAGAAGGGAAGGUAAAUAAAAGAAAUGAGAAAGAGGGAGAUAGAAGCUCUGAUACGCUAAUGUUUGACAGGUUGAGGAUGCUGCGUUACCCGUGAUACAAUCACUCAAAAUGCAUUUAAAGCCCCUCAAAUUGCUGGAAACUGCAUUGCAUCGCAGCAGUCUCGCAAUCAGUCCCUGCAGGUUCGUAAUUUAGUCUUUGCAGGUUCGCACUUUAGUCCCUGCACCUACCCUCAGCCUGCCAAGCAGCAAAUUGAGGCCUUUUUUUGCGCCAUUUUAGUUCGCUCCGGCAAUUCACCCAAACACUUUCAAAACAUAUCCAAGGGACCUUACACAAGCUUCCAAUUUAAUCUCGAAGCAACGUCACUUUCAUUUUGGAUCAUGAUACUCAGUAAACAAAAUCAAUCAAUAUGACCGGUUACAGCCUGGCAGCACACUUGAAGUUUCUUUUUGCACGUAACUCACUUCGUACUGAACACUUCGAACCCUUUGACAACAUACAUUUGCCUUUCCAAGCCUCACAAUCAUUCGGAGAUACCACAAAUUAUCCUCACGCCUUAACUUUGAUUUACUUCAUCAAAGUUAAAUGCUAUAAUUCCGAACUCGCUUUUUUUCUUUUCGUUUCGGUGGCGCCAUUUGCGCUCGAAACACUCAUUAUCUCCGAAUUCAUUCCACGCAUCUAAAAUCACUAUGGGAAAAGAUCAAAACUAGCUCAAGCCUCAUACUUUGAUCCCCUCGAUCAAGUUAGCAUCGCACUCAAGGUUUCCCAUAUAUUAACACUCUCAAUCUCCCUCACACUCACUCAUUUCACUCUUUCACUCUUCAUUGCUCUCUCCCCCUUGCCUCUCUAUCUCUCUAAGAAAAAGAAAGGAAAAGAAGAAGAACAAGCAAAGAGAGGAAGGAUAAAGAAGAGGAUAGAAAAGAAGGAUAAGAAAAGGAGAUCAAAGGAAGGCUUUGCGCACCUUCCAUCUCCCUCUCCUCUUCUCUCUGUGUGUAGCAUCACUGGAGGUAGCUCUUGAUGGGCUAGCUUCUAAACUUUGGAGUUUUGGAUUUUUAUGCUUUGGAAUGGGUCAAAUGGACCCUUAAUGAGCUUCUAAAUAGAUCAAGAAUCCUAAGAAAUCUAGGAUUUAUUGGGUGGUUUGCAUAUAGGUGCAAAUCUAGGGCUCGCCAAAGGGGCUUUUGUGAAUAUAUUAUAAAGAUUGAGUUCAUUUGAACCCUUGGAAACCUCUAUUGUUAGGUUCACAAACAUGGGGGCGAAGUCGUUUGGCAUUCGCGAACUGGCGUGAAGUUUCUCGCAAAACUAGGGGCCGGGCUAGGCAUUGAUUGGCAAAGGAAGGCUAAAGCCUUUCGUAAAGUUGCCGAGAAGAAUAUCCAAGCUCUACAUCGAUUAAGUAGGGAGUGCACAUCUCAAAGUUUCGACCUCCUUUACAUGUCUUAGAAUUGCAUUUAAUCUCAUCUCUUCAUGUCAUUGUAGGAAUUGCAGUAGUACCGUCCUUCCUUAUAUUUCUAAUAUAACCUAGUUAGCUUGUAAAUGCUCGGGUAACCUCUAAUAAUGAGGAUUGGGGGUCGAACUGGAUCUCUAUGAUGCGAAAGAUGAGAUGAACGCCAUGGGGGUGUUGCAUGACAUAGAAAGUUUGUUAAUGUUAAAGACCAAACGAUGCUAUCUCAAACAUUGAAUGAUGACGAGUUGUAUUAUUAAAUGUGUUAUAUGACACUAGAGUUUGAGACUAGAGAGGUGGAUCCUAGAAAAAUGCCUAGUGAACAAUGAAUUUAGACAAACUAUAAUAGCAUUGCAUGAAUGCCUGGGGAACAAAUGAUCCGCGCCAGAGAUGUUACUCUAUUAUAGAGGGCAUCCUCCACUUGGAGAGGAUUUUGAUUGGUUGUGAUCCGCUAGACAUAGUGCCUCACUUGAGAAGGAUAUGGAUUGGGUUGUUGAAUUAGUGGAUAGUGUUAUCCUCACUUGUGAGAGGCAUAGAUCUAGGCUCACAGGUCUGCGUUUGGGAAUGGUAAUAGCCAUCCAAUCCCCAUGAGGGAUUGUCGUCGAGUAUCCCGAGUGUCGCGCUGACUAGGGACCCACUUUGGAGUCCGGACACACAUGAGGCCGCAGACGGUCCGCUGGGCUUGGUUGGCAUCUUGAGCUCGCCUCCCACUUUGGGAAUUGAAGUGUGAUCAUAGGCGAGGCCGCUAGGACCGCUCGGCCACAGAUUGGGUAAUGGAGAGUUAAAGGUUUAACAUUGUCAUUGACACAUUCUACUUAUUCGAAACAUAGAUGCGCAGAUUUGUUAGUGCAUGGUACAAAUCUUCUAUUCAUAUAAUGCAUGCUUCAUAUUCAAUCGAUUAAUGGGCAUAUAGUACUAUGUUUUCCCCUACUAUUGCACUUUAUCAGUUUUUUAGAUACAUAUCUAUCUAUCUAUCUGUUGUUAGCUUGUGGCCGGACUUGGACGCUACGUGGGGAGAUCGUGCCGCGUCGGCGAACCGAGCCCCAAUGGGAACUAUGGAAGAUAGUUUCUCACCCACACUCUUAUUUCCAGUGGAGGUAAGGAUUAGCCGAGGUGAGGACCGCGGCAAGGGCAUCCGCAGCGCCGAUCAGUGAGACCCGUCGUAGUUGUAGCUUUUCCUUUUGGCAGUUAGUUCACUAUGUAUUUGAGUAGAUUUCUAUUGAGGUGAUGGACUUGGGGCUUAUAUUUUUGAGAUGGAAAAUGUAUUCCAUUUGCAAGAAAAUGUGUAAAUGAAAACUACUGUAAAAGUUAGUAAAGUAUUCUCUUUUCAUUUCACAUGUAGCAUCUUGUGGAUCACUUGCUUUUGUAUUUGUCGCAUUGUUUGCGCCUCCUUGUGAUGGUACGUUUAGAAUUUGAGUUCUUGGAGAAUUUGAGUUCUUGGUAAAUCGUUGUACCCACAUUCUUGUUUGUUGAGCCUUAGGGCGGACAGGGAUCGUGCUGUCCGUUCGACAGUACCGCGCUUGCGCGCCGAACCGUGCCAAAUCUGGUAAGUGGGUUUCGGGGCGGGGCGUGAGUAGUUAAUUCGUUGUAUCGAGCAUAAGCAAGUAAAGAGAGAAAGUCUGAGAUGAACCUCGGAACCCUAGGUUGAUAAGCCUAAGGUUAUAGUGCGUGAGCAGACGUGAACCUAUACGAUGGCGAAUUAAUUCGACUUUGCUUCAAGGUUGGGUAAAAUUGAUGGUUCUAUUGUGAUUAGCGACGGUACUCAAGUUGUAGAUUCUGCUUGAGGUAGUGUGUGUCGGCGCCGACGACAAUGAUACAAGAGCCUAGAAAAGUGGCACUUGUGUCUUUCCGCCCGAUUCCUGUGGUAAAGUCGUCAUGUUCGUAAUUCGACGAGUAAUGGGUUAAGAAGAACUGACCAAAUUGUAUUGCGUUUCCGGGACUGAUGUCUCCAAGACGCUACACACGUAGACUGCCCAAGCACCGAUUCCUCGAGGUGCCUCCAGCAGGAGUGAACCGAUGCGUAAUCAUCGGUUGGCAGCGCAGGUGACCGGCUGGAAAUCAAUGUGUGCCCGCCGAAGAGACCCGAUUCGAGUUGCUCUAGGAUCUUUUGGCAGGGCGGCAGAUACGGCUGCACUGGCGACGGUGCCAUGAAGGUGGUGGUCCGCCCGCACACCGUCGACUCAUAAAUACGGAGCAGAGGUGAGGCAUGAGCGCCGUUCCGGUGAUGCCAACCCACACCGCCAACGAUCCGUACCACAGGUCGCAUCGGGAUCAGGGCUAACCCGAUGUGUCGCCCGAAGACGUGAGGGAGAGUGCGCAUUACGGCUUCUUAUUCAAGUUCAACAAGUUCCAUCGCCCAACUUUCGAGGCGAGAAGUGGAACGGAGAUGGUUGAGUCUUGGAUCGAACUCGAUGGAGACCCUUUCGAUGACUUGCUGUACCUUGGAGAGGGACAAGGUGUAUUUCGCCACGCACUGCUUGUAGACGCCGGCGAGUUUGUGGAGUGAAUCAGACGGAAUUCGGCUUCCCGCUUUCGCCAAUUGCUCGUGGUGAGAAUUCAAAGCGGGAGAUGUUCGCCAACGUAUUCCCCGAUACGUUGAAGCGGUAAGCUCAAGGAGAAGUUCCGCACGCGUAGAGCAAGGAGACCGCUCAGUGGGCGGAGUACGCAACAAGAAAAUUCUCCAAUAUAUCGAUUGCGUCCGGGAUUUGUAAAGGAUGACCGGACCGGCCGAGUGGUUCUUCGCGAGACUUCGGCCGGGCAAAUCUAAAGGCCGUGCAAAUACACAAGCUCACUGACUUUGGCGGAGGUCUUGAUGCGAGCUAUGGGCGGAGCACGAAGAUGCGCACGUUUCGGCGAGAAGCGUGAGCUAUUGUCGGAGUCCAAGGAUAAUGGCAAGAAAUGCCAAGGUGCGGUAGUUCGGGGACAAACACGUUACAAGAACCCGCGAAGUACCCGCGACUCACAGAGAAGACGGUAGAGCGCGCGAUGAUCGUAUACGGCGAGGACCGCCCGGUCCUCGCGCUGUGAGGCAAGGCCGGAGGCAAGUGCACAAAUGUGGCAAAACCGGGGCAACUUCAUUCGGGACUGCCCACGGUGAGGAGAGAGCCUCGCCUGCCCAGGCGAUUGCAUCGUGCGUGGGCGAUCCCGCACAUCUAUGGAGGAGCUCCAACCCGACGACCGCGCCGACUGGACGCGCGAUGAUGCGCGUCAAACUGUAUUAAGCGACGGCGAUGCGGCCCCGACCGACGGGUGUUCGCCGCUCAGUCCAAGCUGAUGAAACCUGCGGAGCGAAGAGCAUCGCCUUGUGGCAGGUUAUGGUUUAAUUAACGGAGUCGCUUCAGGGCCUUUAUUUGUACAGGAGCUCGCGCAUUCAUUCAUAAGUAGAUCAUUUCGCACGCAUGGCAUGACAAUACUCAUAGAGGCUGAGUGACAAUGGCGAGGGAGGGCCCUGGGUCGACGUUAACGCACUACUCGGAUGUGCGUCGUGUUCAUAGCAAAUAGGGUGACUGGACUCAUGCCUAUCCGGAACACUGGAACUCACUAAAGCUGAGGCUUUGAGGUCUAUUCUGGUCAUGGACUGCUCUCGAAAUAUCACGCAAUCGAUCGACUGCAAGAGCAAGUGAUCCACGUCUGCGAGCCAGGACUAAGAGGAAUUCCAUAAUCACAGGCUGUCAAGCUGCGUGCUUCGUCGCGACGGUGUCGCGACGAGAGCGAGGAAAUUGGUCAUACAGCGGUUGCACGACUUUUUGCAACUUUGUAGAAGUGGACACGAGUAGCUCCAACAAUUUAGAUGGAGUUUAUCGUGUGCGGGAGUUCCUGGAUGUGCUUUCCUACGGAUCUGCCGGGGAUACCACCGAUCGGGAGAUGCGAGUCCAUUCAUAGAACUUGUUCCCGAUACCGCACCGAUCUCAAAGGCUCUCGUACCGAAUGCCGCAGACCGGAAUGAACGGAGUUUUUGAAAUGAUCAAGCUGCAGACCUCCUGCGACAAGCAAUGUAUCCGGCCAAGUUGUAUCACCUUGUGGGGAGCCCCGGUAUUGUUUUGUAAGGAAGCAGGAUGGAUCGUUUCGAACUCUUGCGUGGAUUUAUCGAAGAAUAAACAGAGUCACGAUCAAAGACACAAGUACCCGCUAACUCCGAAUUUGAUGAUCUGUUCGAAUCAGAUUGCAUAGGGUCCAUAGCGUGUACCAAAAUAGACUUGGCAAUCCUGGCUAUCACAGUCUAAAGUAAGCCGGAGGAGUGCAGAACCAAACUGGCGUUCUGUAAGGCGGUAUGAGACAUUACGAAUUCAUGGUCUAUGCCAUUUUGACUCGAUGCUCCAGCGGCAUUUAUGGAUUUAAUGAACCGUGUCUCUAAGGGAGUCAUUUUGAUUCGAUUGUCGUCGUCUUCAUAGGAUGACAUCAUUGCGUACUAUUCUUGUAGUGACAGGAACAUGCCGAGCAUUUUGAGAUAGUGUUCAUGUGCCUUCGUGAGAGAAGCUAUAUGCUAACCGAAGAAUGUAGACUCUGGCUUUCGCGAGGUCGCCUUCUAGGGGCUGUGAUCCCAGCGGCGUAGCAGUUCUGUAGCACUCGAGGAACAAUUGAGGGCAAUAUAGAUUGGCCACGCCCCGACGAAUUCACCGGAGUUCGACACGCUCGUGGCUUGGUGUGGCUAAUUUAUAGGCGGUUCGUUGAAGGCUUUCCAAGUGAUUCCACUUACCCGCCUGACUCAGAGGCACCAUAGUUGUGUGAGCGAAGAAGUGCGACCGGAGCUUCAAAGAGUUGAAAGCAAAGAUUGACUUCGACUUCGCGGUGCUCAGCUCUAUCCGGUGACGCAGGGCGACAGAGCUUCGUAGUCUACAGUGUAUGCCUCCUAUCUUGGAUUGGGGCGUGUGUUAAGCAAAACGGGAGCGGUGAUGCGCUUUCAUGCAUCUCGUCAGCGUGAAGAUGGCUAUGAAAAGAACUACUCCAUCACGAUUUGGAGCUUAGCUGACGGUGAUUUUCCCUUGAUAGCUGUGGAGGCACUACUUAAUAUGGUGACCAUGUGUGAGAUCUAUACCUGAGCGCACAAGAGCUUGAAAGUAUCUGCUUCACACAGAAGGAGGCUCAACAUCGGCGUCAGCCGGGCGGUGGUUGGAGCUGUAAAGGAUUAUGACGUUUGAUCAUCCUCUCCCACCCGGAAGGCAAUGUGGUCGCGGACGGCACUAGUAGGAAGUCGGCGAAGAACCUCGCAUCCUUUGAUAUUACCCAGCAAACUACCGCCUAUGGCUGAAUAUGGAUCGAUUGGACCUUGAAGUGUCGUCUAGGUUGAGGUCACUCACUUGAUGGCCUCGUUGUCCAAGCCGACCUUGUCUGAGAGGAUCAAAGAUUGCAACCCGCAGACCCACGAACUCCAAAAGGUAUUGGCGAAAACAUCAAGGAGAGGGGCAUGGCGGCGCUUUCAAGGUAGACGCUUGAGGGUCAGCUUCGGUUUUUGAACGCCGACUGUGUGUGCCGAAAGAUGGAGAACUUCGUGAAUUGAUUCACAAGAAGCAACACUGCUUCCAUAUCGAUCACUACCGGGCGGCACCAAGAUGUAUCAAGGACUGAGAUCACUACUGGUGCGCCGGAAAUGACAAAGGUGACAUUGGACGCUUUGUGGCAAAGUGCUAACAUGCCAACAAUGAAGGCCUGAGCGUCGAUUUUCAGCGGAAAAGCGUGAAGCCUACCAACCCCGUUUGAAAGUGGGAAGACAUAUCGAUGGACUUCAUGUCGGCUUGCCUCGGCUUAAGUUAGCACAGGUAUAUCUUCUUGAACGAGAUAGUGAGACUACAUUGGUGGUGAACGAAAUCGAUCGUGUCGAUCGUGACCCCCGUUCAACUGUCACACUUCUAGAAGAGCCUGCCAAAGACCUUGCAACUCGCUCGACUUUUAGACCGCAUUUCAUCACUCAGACACGAAUAGGGCAAACAGAGAGAAUCUAUUCAAACUCGGAGGACAGUUUUGCGAGCGGUGUGUCAUUGACUAUGAAGGGAAGUUGGUGUGAUCACCUACCUAUGGCCAAGUUCGCCUAAACAACAGUUUAUCAGCUAAUGUGAGAUGGCACGUUCGAGGCUCUUAUGGGCGGACGUGUCGAUCCCUAUAUCACUGGAGCGAUGUGGGUGAGUGUAUCAAGAGUUCGGCCCCGAUGUCUUGGCGAGAAGCGGUAGGAGAAAAAGUCAGGCCUUGCCUUGCAAGAGAUUGCUCCACUGCGCAGUCGAGACAGCUAAAAGCUAUGCCAUAUGGCGCCGGUCGAGAUAAUAGAGUUUCGCGGUGGGUGACCGCGAUAUUCUUAAAGUUUCGCCGAUAAGCGGGCGUGAAGGGCUGUUUGGAGUGCGGAAAAAAUUGAAGUCCCGGUAUAAUUGGCCAUAACCGAAAUAUUGGAGCGAGUCAGCAACGGUGGCCUACCAACUCGCUUUGUUGGCUCGCCGAAGCUUGCGGAUGUGGCAUAAUGUGUUGUCCAUUCCAAUCUCCGGAAGUAUAACUUCAGCGACCCACGAGAUGCAUGCUAUAUAAUCCCCAGAUUUCAAGGAACUGAGCUACGAAGAGUUUUCCGUAGGGAUUAUGCCGAGGAGUGCGCAAAGUGAGGAAUCGAGAAAUUCCCUAAUGUGCAAGUUAGUGAGUAACUCACGAGGUAUUACGAGCACCUAGGAAGCUCGAGGAUCUGAUGAGAAAACACUAUCCUUCAUCUAUUUGAGGAGUAAAGGGUAUGGAUUUAAAUUAAAGUAAAGAAUUGAGUUAGUUUCGAUGACCGAAUCUCCUUUAAGGGAGGGAGGAUGUAAGGAAAGCGAUUCUCCGAAAUCUCGAGGAUUGUACUUCAUCCAAGAUCGACAAUUUUAGAGAGAAUACCCUUUGUGGAGCUAAAAAUGUCCAAAUACAAAAAAGUGAUUUGGCAGUUUGAUCCCACGAGAGCGAAUGAUCAAACCAGCAUCGUUGUACUGAUGUUGCUGCUCGGGACCGGUCCCUGGAGGAGAGACCGGUUCCUUGGCUGGGUGUAGCGGGAUUGCUUGAUUGCCAACCGGUCCUGCAGGGAGGGACGCUGAUUCUCACGAACGUUGGGUCCCCCCGCCAUCGAGAACCACCUGCCAAAAUUUGGCUAAGUCAUUGAAAAAUCGACGCCUCUCGCGGGACCGGUCUUUCAGGCGGCGACGCGGUCUCCCGAGGACCAGUCUCCCGGGAGAGACCGUUCNNNNNNNNNNNNNNNNNNNNNNNNNCUCUAUCCAUCGUGCGAUGGGCGAAGCAAAUAAAGUAAAUCUUUAUUUGAAUCGACCUUUACACUUAUAUAUGUAUAUGUAUAUGUACAUGCAUAUAUGUAUAUGCAUAUGCAUAUGUAUAUGUAUAUGUAUAUGUAUAUAUGUAUAUGUAUAUGUAUGUAUAGAUGUAUAUGUAUAUGUAUAUGUGUCAGAGCCUGCGACCCGCCUCUUCGGUCAGGUUUGGACUGCCAACAGUCGUCGAACGGAUAGAGUCUCCCCUGUCCGCCCAAGGCAACAAACAGUACAAUACAAGAGGUUCCAAAUAGGAACAGUAUUCGUACACUGAUUUCAUAAUGAAAGGUAUCAAACAACAUAAAUACAACCUAUACUAUUACCAGCAUUCACAUUCAUACAUUUACACAUUUGUUUUCUUCCAAAUACAAUCUAAAUUAUUACAAAUUAAUUACAAGUUUGUUUCUCUCCAUUUCCUAUACCCCCUAGGCUAUGUUGACUCGGGGUACUGCUAUCUCUGGUCUCUGGGGUAGGGCGCUACCUACGAAGCUACGCCCUUUCCUCGUGCCGCUGCGCUGCUUAUGUGCGAACCUGUAAUACCCCAAAGCAACGUGGGAUGAGAACUAACUCCAUAGCUCCCAGUGCGUACAACCAUCCAAGGAAAAAGCUCGACCAACAGGUCCAAAGGAGGCAAACAACAUGUUAGUUCAACAAAUAGAUAUAAUAUCAUAAACUAUGCAACUAACAUAAAUCAUGCUUUGCCUCACAAAUGCGAUGUAACAUAUUGCAUCCCCGUAAUUCAUGCCGAGUUCUGUCGAAAUGAGCGGAGCGCGGAGUGGAACGAGUUGGAAUGGGUUCUUAGUGCAUUGGAACCUUGGUGUAAGGUAAAAAGACCCAAGAGAGCAAAAUCUGUGAAAAUGGCUAAGUCCCAAAUUUUGGGCUCUCGGGGUCCGGUCCCUGAAGGAGAGACCGGUCCCUAUAGGUUGGAAAAUUUUCCCUCGGCUGAGUUUUAGAAGUUUUGCUCUCGGGGUCCAGUCCGUGAAGGAGAGAUCGGUCCCCUACGCGUAGCCAGCCCAAAAAGGGUGGAAAAUCGGCUAAGUCCUGAGAGUGAUGCUCUCGGGGACCGGUCUUUGCGGGGAGAGACCGGUCCCCGUAAGCGAAAUGGGCCCCAGCGGCUAAGUCCUGGAAAACCCACUCUCGGGGACCGAUCCCUGCGGGGAGAGACUGGUCCCCGCAUGUGAAAAAUGCCCAGUGAGGGCUGAUGUGAAAAAUGGAAAUGAGAGGGGUUUAAGUGCAAUUGUGUCAUGUGUUGGGUGUAUAAGUGAGAGGGAUGGGUGUUAGGGCUCAUUUCUCUCCCACUCCAAUACCAAACAUCUCCCUCUCUCUCUCUAAAAACCUCUCCUCUCCCUCUCCUUCUCUCUAGAGCUUGUACCAAGGAGGGUUUUUAGAGGAGAAAAGCUUGGAGAAGAAGCUUCUCUAGUUGAAGGCAAGCUUGGGCAAGAGCUUUUGGAGGAAAGCUUUGGAUUAUAAAGGUGAGUUCCAUGUUUUUGAGCUAGGUUUUUGUCAUGCCCCCCGCCCCGAGACCGCUACCAAUUUGGCAUGGUUCGGGCACGGCGGACGGACCGCCGGACGGACAGCACCUCUCCUGCCCGCCCAAGGCUCCAACGACAAGAUUGUGUACCACAAGUUCCCAGGAAACAACUUGAAUACAUACACAAUCACUCAACAAUCACGAGAGCACAAGCAGUGCUUACAAUCACGAGCAAGCUACACAUGUAAAGCAUACAAGUGAUAAAAGAGAGAUGCACUUAUCUAUUACUCAUUUGGCUUUAUACAUUUAUUACAACUUGCAUUCUUCCAAACUUGUUCCACAUAUAUAUAUAUAUACAAUACAAUCCUCUCAAAACCUCACCCUAUACAACAAUCUACUCUCAAAAUAAGUACAGGGUGAUCGAGGAGUGUCCAUCACGUGAGGCCUCAAACCGUGCGCUCCCCCGGUCACAUCACGGGAACCUGGUCACAUCACAGGCGUCCGCCAGAGCCCCUUCCACUUAUCGAUCGGUGGAGGGGAUACUCUGAAGCUCUGCACUCUGACACUCGCUCGGAACGCAAGCGGCUCUCUAACCCACUAGUCUACUUACUGGAACAAUAACUUGUACCAUCAUACUAUCGGUCGGAAGAAUGAUACUCAAGGUACGUACGUAGUAUGACCUAACUCCGUAACUAUCUAGUAUUAACAAGUAAUGACAACGACGAAAGUUAAAAUAUAUAGAUAGAUAGACGUACAGAUAGAAACGGACGAAUCUGGAUCACCCCUCUAGCCGCCUCAGCCGCCGGCUUGGGUGACCCUUGAUAAGCAUCAAGAGUGAGGUGGUACAACGUCCAAGCUCAAGAUCGCGGGGACCACUCCUAGCGCCGUUCCCGCAUCGCGGGAUCGCUGAAAUCAUCUCCAAUGGAAGGAAUACGUAAUCAACNCAUAUUCAUAUGUCGAUUAUCAUAAUAUGUCAACAAUCAUAUAUGCUCUAACAUCUAUGUAUUAUCCUAGUUGUCCAUAUCUAGGAUUAUUGCUUACACAAUCUCAUUUGUAAUUGUCGGAUUCUCUAAUCAAUUUAGAGUUAUCGACCCAUAUUCUGCUUGUAUGAUUCUAACAGGCUCACAUUAUGUUCAUAAUCAUGCAUCAUCGGGUAUUAUCCACAAGAUAUUGACAUGCAUAUUCUAAUGGUAGAUAACAAUGAUUGAUACAAUACGAUUUAAGCUUUCAUAUUAUUACUCACAAUCUACCACUAUACAUGUAUGCGUCAAAAUAAUUAUACUUUACUUUGGCAUGGAAGUGACCUAAUCACUUCGGUAAAACACAACCCAUCUUUACUUAAUACUGGAAUGCGAGAAAUCCACUUCCCGCACUUUCCCAAGAAUCACGAUCCACACUCGCGAUAAUUGAAGACAAAAACGUCUUUUGGGCGAUAUCUUUGCGUAGGCUCGACGGAUUGCCGAACCGACUUCGCCAACGCGUUCGCUUUACCCUCAAUUAGGUUUGUAUGCGAUCAUUUCCAAGUUAGGGCCUCAAUCCUGCAAAAGUGCAUUAUCGAGGUUAAAGCUCUAUAUAAUAUGUUACAAUACAAACUCUAUAAAAAUAUAUAGAGUAAUUUCAUUUCGCUAACCCAAAACCUCAACUAAGUAACUUACAUACAAGAGACUAAACUCUUGUCAUUACCUCAAUUCUAUAGGUUUCUCACCUUUUUACAACUUGCACAUAAGACUUGAGCUUAGCCAUAUAUAUCAUCAACCUAUAGCUUUUAUAGGUUUAUCUAUAAUCAUACCCACUCUAAAAAUUGACUCAUCCAUAAUUUAACCUCUUUAUACAGCGAUUAAUAUCCCGCCUGUCCAGAAAUUAAAGCUAAUUUACCCCAGAUUUGCCUCUUUAACAUACAAUUCACAAGUACAUAUUCAUACAUAUAUGUAUGUGUAUGCUGUCGGCAUCAGUUUUCUAAGCUUUUUUCAUGGUUUUAAGGGUUCCAAUGCUUAAAUCUGCAGCUUAAACUUCUUGGGAAUGUAAAUAGGUAACCUCUAAACCAGGAAUUAACUUCACCAUACUUCAGUUUUCACUUUCUAACAACAAUUUACAAGUAUAAAUCCAAUACAUGUUGCCCCUGAAAUUUCCCUUAGGCCAUUCAUGGUAUUAGAGGUUCUAAUACUUAAAACCUGUAAUUUUAGAAUCCUUGGAAGGUAACUACACAACUCUCAAACAAGAAUGAACAUCACUCUUGUUCAGAAAUUUCACUAAUUUUAUCUCUGGCUCCAUUCCUAAUCCAUAACUCACACUCAAUGGGUUCAUAGUGCAAUUUUCAGGUUUCUACACCCUCAAACCAGCAUACAGUUCAAAAUCUACAUCUUUCUAAUGUAAAUAAAUGAACCAUAUUCAUAACCCAAUCAAGCUUACCUUAAUUCGAUGCUCCAACAGCCAAAAAAAACUGCUCUAAAGUCCUUUCUUCAGCUCAAACACCAAGCAAACUGCACUUCAUUUCUUCUUAGCUCAAUUCAAGAGAAAUCUGCACUUUCUUCUUCGCAGCUCCUACUUCGAAGCUCCCUCAAAUCCCUUCUGCAAUUCGGAACAGCAAGGAACUCCCUCAAGUCUCUCUCGGAUUCACUCUCCGCCAGGUUUCUCCCAACUGUCGCAGCUCUCCACAGCUAAACCAUCAAGAAACCUAACCUCUCCUUCAAUCGGUUUAUCGAGAGAAGGGAAGGAAAUGAAAAGAAAUGAGAAAGAGGGGAGAGAGAAGCUCUGAUACGUAUGUUGACAGGUUGAGGGAUGCUGGGUUAAGUGAUAAGAUCACCAAAAUGCAUUUAAACCCCUCAAAUUGCUGAAACUGCAUUGCAAUCCAGCAGUUCGCAAAUCAGUCCCUGCAGGUUCGUAAUUUAGUCUUUGCAGGUUCGCACUUUAGUCCCUGCACUACACCUCAGCCUGCAGCAGCAAAUUGAGGCCUUUUUGCGCAUUUAGUUCGCUCCGAAUUCACCCAAACACUUUCAAAACAUACCAAGGGACCUUCACAAGCUUCCAAUUUAAUUCGGAAGCAACUCACUUUCAUUUUGGCAUCAUGAUACUCAGUUAAACCAAAAUCAAUCAAUAUGACCGUUACACCUGGCAGCACACUUGAAGUUCUCUUUUUGCACUACCACUUCGUACUGAACACUUCGAAACCCUUUGAAAACAUACCAUUGGCUUUUCCAAAGCCUCACAAUCGAUUCGGAGAUACCACAAAUUAUCCUCACGCCUUACUUUGAUUUACUUAAUCAAAGUUAAUGCUAUAAUCCGAAACUCCUUUUUUCUUUUCGUUUCGUGCCCAAUUUGCGCCGAAACACUCAUUAUCUCCGAAAUUCAUUCUCACGCAUCUAAAAUCACUUGGGAAAGAUACAAAACUAGCUCAAGCCUCACUUUGAUCCCCUCGAUCAAAGUUAGCAUCGCAACUCAAGGUUUCCAUAUAUUACACUCUCUCUCCCUCACACUCAUCUCAUUUCACUCUUUCACUCUCAUUGCUCUCUCUUGCUCUCUCUCUCUCUAGAAAAGAAAGGAGAAGAAGAAGAACAAGAAGGAGAGGAAGGAAAAGAAGAGGAAGAACAAGAAGGAUAAGAAGAAGGAGAUCAAGAGGAAGGCUUUGAGCACCUCCAUCUCCCUCUCCUCUUCUCUCUGGUGUGUAGCACAGGAGGUAGGCUCUUGAGCCCUAGCUUCUAAACUUUGGAGUUUUGGAUUUUUAUGCUUUGGAAUGGGUCAAAUGGACCCUAAAUGAGCUUCUAAAUAGAUCAAUCCCAAGAAAUCUAGGGAUUUAUUGGUGGUUUGCUAUAGGUGCAAAUCUAGGGCUCCAAAUGGGGCUUUUGUGAAUAUAUUAGAUUGAUCUCAUUUGAAGCCUUGGAAACCCUAUUGUUAGGUCACAAAACAUGGGGGCGAAGUCGGUUUUGGCAUUCGGCGAACUGGCGUGAAGUUCUCGGCAAAAUAGGGCCGGGCUAGCAUUGAUUUGGGCAAGGAAGGCUAAAGCCUUUUCGUAAAGUUCGCCGAGAAGAAUAUCCCAAGCCUCUACAUCGAUUAAAGGUAGGGAGUGCCAUCCCAAAGCUUUCGGACUCCUUUCUAUGUCUUAGAAUUGCAUUUAAUCUCAUCUCUUCAUGUUGCAUUGUAGGAUUGCAUAGUACCUCCCUUCCUUAUACUUUCUAAAUGAUAACCUAGUGUACUUGAAAUGCUCGGUAACCUAGAUAGAUGAGGAUUGGGGGUCGGACGUGGAUCCUAUGAUGCGAAAGAUAGAGAUGAACCCGAUGGGGGUGUUGAUGACAUAGAAAGUGUUGUUAAUGUUAAAGAACAAACGAGUGGCAUCCAAACAUUGAAUGAUGACGAGUGGUAUUAAUGUAGUGUAUAUGACACUAGAGGUUUGAGAACCUAGGGAUAGGUGGAUCCCUUAGAAAAUGCCUUGUGAACAAUGAAUUUAGACAAGCUAAAUAGCAUUGCAUGAAUGCCGGGAACAAAUGAUCCCGCGAGAGAUGUUGACUCUAGUUAUAGAGCAUCCUCACUUGGAGAGGAUUUGANACUACACUGGUCCAAGGGCACUACACUGGCCCCCUCGCGUGCCAAACUCCGGAGUGCACUACCUGUGAGGAGCUACCUCCACAGGUGCAGACAGGCUAAGUGAGCUCGAUCCAAUCUCAUGAACUGGGAACACCCUAACCAACCAGGGGUGAUAGCAACAUAGUAUCUCAACUAUACUAAUGUUCUCAUGUUCAAUAUCAACUAGGUGCCACUCGUUCUGGGUUCACUGUUAACUAGAUGCCACUCGUUCCUUUGACAAGUUCUUGAUACACUAGUUUCCAAUACACUAGGUUCUUAUUCAUUGUAUCGACAACCCGAACUAUCACUAGCAUGCAAAGGUAUAUACAAUUACAUUUACCACCCUAUAAUGCUCUAUCACAAUAUAUAAUUGAUCAACAUUAGUACUCAGACAUGAAGAGUAGCCCGACUGCUUCGGGAUGGCACUCCCCCACCUCGUGGCGAUGCCGUGACUCUUCGAAUGCGAUUCGCCGACUUUCCGACACCUCGUUGGCCUUCCAAGCGAGAUCGACGCUCCGAGGGUCUCUUUAGGCGAUAACUUCGCACCUACUCGACGGAUCGACGAACUGUCUUUGCCGACGCACUCAGAGACCUAGAAAUUAGGUUUGCGACCCAUCAAAUUAGAUCAAAACCCUAGAUUUGCCAAAAUCCCAAAUCGGAGCCCUAGGUCUCAACAAUGGAGAAAUCCGCGGUGCGAGCUUCGAUUUCGAGCUCGAACCUUCUCUCUAGUUCCAAUAGGUUCCAUUCGAACCAUUUCUAACCCACAAAACCCUAAUCCAAGAAAUCCACCAUGGUAGGAUUAGAAACUUACCUUCAAAAGCCUAGCCCAACACGGGGGGGAGAAGACAAGAAAGACAAUCUUCACCUUUGUCUUCUUCUUCUCCUACUUCUUUCUUCUCUUUUCUCUUUUUUUCCUUCUUCUUCUUCUUUCUAUGCUUUCUAGAGAGAGAGGGAGGGAUGUGAGAGAGGGAGAGAGCAACUGAGAGGGAGAAAGGGUCCCUCAAGCCUUCAUAUAAGCCAUUUUGCAGAUAGCCCCCUCAACUUUUCAUUCCUUGAAACAGCCCUCACUGGGCCAUUUUCGCAAUGAGGGACCGGUCCCAGGCCGGGGAGACCGGUCCCCGAAAGCUGCACCUUCGAGGAGAGGGGUUUUCGCGUUCGGGAACCGGUCCCUACUUGAGAGACCGGUCCCCGGGAGACCGGUCCUUGUCCGAGAGACCGGUCCCCGAGAGCAACACUUUCGGGACUUAGCCAAAAUCCGGCUUCUCUCGCUGGGCCGACGUUCGGGAACCGGUCCCUGCCUGCCAGGGACCGGUCUCAUCAGAGACCUCCGCAGCCCAGCCCGAUGGGACCGGUCCCUCUCUGCCAGGGACCGGUCCCCGAGAGCAUUUCUGCUCCAGUGCAGCUUUUGCACUGGCGCUCUCGCGGACCUUUCCUUAAUGCACUUUAUGCAUUAUAAUCAACUUCGGACCUUUCGAAGCUUACCCACUUGACAAUUAGUCGAUUCCAGAUGAAGUCUAAUCCCCGGAUUUCGAGAAUUCACUUCCCUUACAGUUUUGGAUUAUUUUCCCUUCUGGCAUGCUUCUAUGUGAUGAAUGGAGUUUUUCCCCCAUAGUAUCCAUGCUAAGGACUAGUUUGGGGAAGAUGACAUUGUGUAAGGGCCUAAAUUUAGAGUUUUUAGAUUUUGAGAUCAAAGAUUGGGUUUGAUCUCUCUUUAACCUAAUUGAUAGGUCAACGAACGCGUUGGUGCACUCGGUUCGGCGAUAUGACGAGCGUACGCGAAGAUAUUGAGAAAAGAAGCUAAAUUGGUACAGAUUGUCGCAGCUCGCGGUGUAAGCAUCUAAAAAUCGUGAAAUCAGGACCGCGGCAUCCUUGCAUAUCCACAGGUGGAGGAUGCUAUCCAGAAACACCGAAUUUCCUUCUAUGUCUAUGUUACUAUUAUUGAGCAUGUUGAUGUUAGUAUUCAUGCAUAUAGGGUAGUGUGAUGAAUAUGAUUGGUUGAGAUUCAAUUGUAUGCUAGAGAACAUAUGAAUUGAUGUAGAACCAUGUGAACUAAGAAUGUGAAAAACCCUAUGUGUACGUGAAUGUAUGAAAAUGAGACUAUGACAAUAGUAAAUAAUGGUGACAUUGACAUUAGUGACGAGAUUGACACCGAGAAUAAGAACGGCUAAACAAAGUUUACCCUAGGAUGGCAUCAGGACCAUUGUGGCUUGGAUAUAGUGGGAAUAUGAAAUGGUAAUGACCUAUCCUUGGCAUUGAGGCUUUGUGCAUUGAGACAGGUUUGGCAAUACUUCCUCAAAUUGAGGAUUGGAUCGUACUCACACUGGCUAUGGCUUGAGGGAGGUAGCUCCUCCUCAAGCGGUGUACUCCGGAGUGUAGACACCACGGGGAGAGGCCUCGUCAUCGUUCCCUCGGGUGGUAGUGCUAGUAGCCUCCCCCGGUAGACGGGAAUUGUGGUUUGUGAGUUUGGGGUGAACCAGGAAUACCCCGGGAUGAUUUGGUAAAGGCCAAAGAGAAUGAGAACAAGAACAUGCAUGCAUAAUUAUCAUGUAUUGAAUAUCUAUCUGCUGACAGCUUUCUUGCAGGCAUUGUAUUAGAAGUGUAUUAGUUGGUUUGUUAUCUUCCUUAUUGAAAUAUAUAUGCCUGAAUAGACCUAGGGGGCGAGUCGGCGCGGUCGGCGGCCGAACCCACUGGGAACUUCGUUUAGUUCUCACACCACCACUAACCCUGCAGAUCCAUGCGCGAGCGGGGCGGCGGAGAAUCGAGGCAAGGGGCUAGCGCCAUAGAUAGCGGCCUCGGAGUUUAUAGGCAUACCCUAUAUUUACAUUCAACUUUUGUAUGUUGAACUAGUAAUGUAAAAAGAUGUAAAUCAUGUAUUUUGGGUUAAAGGACAAUGUGAUAUAAAUGAAUGGAAAAGAAUGAAUGUAAAUGAUGGUUUGCUUGUGUUUGAUUCAAAUGUAAUCAAAUGACAUGUAUGUGGAUAAAUGCUUAGUUAGUUUCGAUGCUUUCACAUAUGAGUUGGUUGUUUGUUUGCCCUCGUGCAAACCUAGUAUAAUUGUUUGUAUUAUACUUGUUGAUUAGAGCCUUGGGCGGACAUGAGAGGUGCUGUCCGUUCGGGGUCUGUCGGUGUGCCCAAACCGACCAAAUUGGCGGCCUCGGGGCGUGACAGAUAGUUUGGUAUUAGAGCGAGUGAAAGCAAAAGUCUAGGAUGGACUUAGGGACCUUAGGAUUGGAGACCUUAAGGACUUAGGAGACGUUUAACGUGGACUUGGAUGUGCGGAAGCUAAUUGAUUGGGUUCUGAUUAGUAAUUCUCUAAAAAGAGUUAGAGAUGGAUUCAAGUAUUCAUUUGUUUUCUUCUUGAAGUGUUAUGUGGGCGGCUGACUACAUGACUCCGAGAGUUGAAAAUGAGGACGCUUGUUUGCUUUCGCUUUAUUGGGUAGUUAUUUGGAACGUGUAAGAGUUGUGCGUGUCGAGUAAUAACGUGUGUGUUUCAUUCAGGAGCUAAUGUCCCCGAGACGUUACACACGUCGAUCCGCUCCAGCAUUGCCUGAUGAAGUGCCCGAGCAAGUUGGAUCUGAUGAAGUCCGAGAGUUGCGGGCCCAAGUAGCGGCUUUGGCCGGGGCUAUGUGACAGCAAGGGGAGCAGAUAGGACGGCUCCAUGAGUUGGUGGCCCGACAGGCGGCGGCGGCUGCACCUGUACCUCAGGACCCGCCUGCACCUGUGGUACCUUCUCCUGCGAUCGCGGCGGCACCGAUGACGGCUAUUCCUACGACGGCUUCAGGUUCUUCGGCUCCUAUCCCGGAGGUACUUGAGGCCGAGCAGGAGCGGUCGUUGGCGAUGUUGACCGCCUUUAAGCGGUUCAACCCUCUGACGUUCCAGGGUGAUGUGAAGGACCCUUGGUUAAUAGAGGCGUGGCUUUCAGCGAUGGAGGCAUUGUUCUAGGAUAUCUACACCCUCGAGAAGGAUAAAGUACGCCUGGCGGCUCACUGUUUAGAGGGGUCGGCUCGGGCGUGGUGGACACGAGUAAAGAACGGAUGAUCUUUGGAUCCUGCUUCCAUGACUUGGGAGGCAUUUCGGGAGUUGUUGCUUAUGGAGUACUUCCCAGAAAGCGACAAGCGGAAGAUCAAGGAGGACUUUCGCAAGUUAAGUUAAGGAAACCGAAUGGUGCGGGAGUACGAAAGGGAGUUCUCGCACAUGGUUGAUUGCAUUCCGGACUUGGUUCAUGGAGACCGGGCCGAGCAGAGGUCUUCGAGCGUGGAUUGUGGCCAGAAAUAUUCAAGAUUAUUCAUGCGCUCCGGCUGAAGACCUAUGAGGACGUGUUGGAUCGCGCGCUAUGGGUAGAGUGCGGCAACGCCAUUGCGCGCGAGAAACACUAGGCGUAUGAAAGGGACAAGGACAAGAAGUCCAAGAAGCGACCGGCUAGUGGUUCCGCGGAGCAGUCGAGUUCUAAGCGACCCCCUCAGUACCCAAGAUCGCAGUGGCGGGGAGGCAGAGGCCAGUUAAGGAGUCAGACGACUUCCGUCCCGUGUGUGAUCUGCGGCGGAAAUCACAAGCCUAGUGAUUGUUCUCAGCGUGACGGGAGGUGGUUCCGAUGCGGCCAAGCGGGACACAUGAGUUGGGAUUGCUCGGGCGGCGCGUCACCUGCCCCGUCAGCUGCUUUGGUUCAGUAUGCUCCACGAUAGCUUGCAGGACUUCCACUUGCUAUGUCGGCUGGGCGCGCGUCAGCACCGCGUCAGCCGGAGGGAUCAUGUGCACCGAGUGGACGGAUUUUCGCCACUCAGGUGGAGGAGCAGCUUGCCGUACCCGACGACGUCGUGGCAGGUAUUAUUUUGAUUAAUGGCAUUAGAGCAAGAGCAUUGUUUGACAUGGGUGCAUCACAUUCAUUCAUUGGUGCAUCGUUUGCUAAGACGCAUGGCAUGGAAAUAGUGCAUAACCAUGACUAUUGGUGGGUUAACGCACUAGAACAUUCGUUUAGAGUUCAUGAGGAGUGCCUAGCUUGUCCGGUUCAGAUCAGUGAUUGGAUCAUGCCGGCGGACUUGCUAGUAUUGAAAUAGAUGUGGGGAUUCGAUGUGAUCCUCGGAGUGGAUUGGCUCUCCAAGUACUAUGCCAGCAUUGACUGUGACAGUAAGGUGAUCACUUUUCGUGAGCCUGGUCAAAAGGAAUUGGUGUAUCAAGCGUGCAAGAGCUCGCGCUUCGCAGCGACCAUGUCGGCGGCGAGGGCGAGAAAGAUGAUCAAAGGCGGAUGUGUGGCCUAUUUGGCGACCAUGAUAGAGGCUCAAAAGGAGCAUCCGGAACUUGGAAAUAUUCGAGUUUCGUGUGAAUUUCGGAUGUGUUUCUGGUGGAGUUACUAUGAUUGCCACUGGAUCGGGAGAUCGAGUUCGUCAUUAACUUGUUACAGUCAAGUCAAUGACAGGGGACAGGGGAGGUGCUGUCCAUUCGGUGUCUGUCGGCGUGCCCGAACCGACCAAAUUGGCGGCCUCGGGGCAUGACAUGCGAUAAUGCCAUUCUAUAUGCAAUUUAUGCAACAAUGCAACAACAUAAGUAGAUCUACCGAUUCUACCUCUAUCUCGCUACCUAGCUUAUAUCCAACUAGAUUCUGAGGUUUCUACUACCUUAGAUCUAUGUCAUUUACCACUAGCCCCUAAGGUUCAUCUACCUUAUCCAAGCUAGCCACCCGACUCGGCCUCGAGUCAAUCAACUGCGGAAUACCACGCUCUCUCCGACUCGAGGUGAAGGACCUCUCACUUGCACCCCAGCCUUCAAUCCACACACCUCAUCGCCUAAUAGGUCGUCCAGAGCUGCGUACACCCGUGGUCAGGGAUCUUCCCGGUAGGAGGGGAACAUGCCAACACUCACCCUCAGCUUAAGACCCCCGAUAGGGAGAGGAACAUGCCACACUCAACCCUAGCGGUCCAAGAUUCUUUCGGUAGGAGGGGAACAUGCCACACUCAACCCGCGGCCAAGAAUCUUCCACAAGCCUGUCCUCGAAGUUUUUCCGGUGGGAGGGGAAUAUGCCACACAGCCCCCGCGGCCAAGACUGUCGAGUUCACAAGUCCUGGGAUUCCGGAAUCCACUUUUCAUGGCUCAAGGGUUGGUCUCACCUUAUCAUGUUGACCUAUCUAGGUCAAAUGUCCUUUCCAUCAUAGAUCCAAUUGACUUUAGGUUCAAUGCCUCUAUCACAUAACCUAGGUUUACUCAAUUCUAGGUUCAAUUCUCAAUCUAUGUUCUUUAACACUAGCUUUAAUGCCACUCACCUAGGUCUAUUUAACUCUAGGUUCAAUGCCACUCGAUCUACUUGACAACUUAAUUGUCUAUGUCGAGUACUAUAGCUACAUGUUCUUGUUUUCUAAUGUCGAGUUCUCUAAAACCACCUAGAGUUAUUGAUUCAAGUCCACAUGUUCACAAUGCUAACAUGUAUCUUACCUAACAUAAUUUGCAAUAUGUCAAUAUGCAUGUUUAUCCAACAAGUUCACAUAAUACUAAAGUGCAUCUACCAUCUAACACAUGCUAUAUCAUGUCGUUAUGCACCUUCCUUGCCAACUAGCAUAUAUUUCAUCAUAUAUUAACAUGCAUAUUCUAUUUAUAUACUUUAACACAUUUAUGAUGCUAUCAUGCACAUACUCUAAUCAUGCUAACAUGCAUAUAUUUCAUCCAAGGUAGUUAUUGCAUAGCAUCUCAUGCAUUUCCCAUGGUAUUGUCACGCCCCGGGACCCGGCGGAAGCCCGCCCGGCACAUGCCCAGACCCGCCAUACGUCUAAAACAUAUAAGGCGUCUAAAAUAAAACGAUAAAUAAAGCAAGAUAAAGAGAACAUCUAGCAGUAUCAGAGCAAGUAUAUCUAGAUGCUACAAUAACCGAAAUGAAUAUAGAGCUAAAUCCACUAGGUAGAAACAGGAAGUAGUACAAUAAACAUCCAAAGUACAAAUGCUAAACCAGAUACAUAGGUGGUCUCUCUAUACAAGGUACUAACAUAACUCUCUCUCUCUACUACAACAAAAGGAGAGUGAACUACCAAAAUGCAAAAGAAACGCUCCUUGCUAGGUAGCUAAGUGAUCCCCUUGCCGCGGUCCCGUGCCUCCACCAGUGUAGAGGGCUCUGAAAUAAAACCAUAGAAACGAGGGCGUGAAAACUAUUAAAAAUAGUUUCCAGUGGGCAAUUACUGACUUCAGUGAAAUGCGCCACUAGGCCCAAAACUGAACAAAAGAGAGUAAAUACGAGUAUAAACAAAAGCUAAAUAAAAAACAAGUAUGUAACCAUGAGUACUACUCUACCAUGAUAUCUCUACUUAGCAAGAAUUGCAUAAGUAAUAAAACAACUACAACAAGUAUGUUCAUGAGUGUGACUAACAUGUAUAAGCAUGUAUAUGCAAUCAACAGAAUGUCCAUGAUGUAGAUAGUAAAAUGUCAUUGUUUACUAUUCUAGUCAAAGUCCAACUGGCAUGGUCUGUCACUAAGUUCCAAUCAUGUAAGACCCACCCGUAGGCUGUCUGGCCUGCGCCGUGCCUAAUAGCCACGUGGUAGUCAACAUCCCCACCUAGGAAUGAGCCUCCCCCACGGCAUCCCAUUUUGGCGCCCAAUUCCGCACGAGCGAGCAUAUGUCGCGAUGGCUAUCUCUGGAGUGCCAGCUUGUAGGGAGCGACCCUCACAAGCAUGUGCGAAUGAGCACAAUGGCAAGCAAACGAAAGAUUUGUCUCAAGUACCAAGUCCUCAUGUCUAAAAAUAUGGAAUAUAUCAAGUAUCUCGAUGGCCUACCACUACGUCGUCAUGUCUAAAACACGGAAUAAUAGUGGAUGUCUGAAUGGCCUAUCACUAUGUCUCUAAGUUGCAGUUUCACAGUUUACUAAGUUAAGUGCCCCUUUAUGGCACUUUGUCCACUAAGUAAGGCAUGAUGAUUAUGUUCAAGAGUACACAUGUCACAGCCCGCGACAACCCGCCUAUUUGGCCGAGGUCCCGGCGCCGCCGACAUCACCGAAUGGACAGGGUUUCCCCUGUACUACGGACAGAGUCUCCCCUGUACAUUCAAGGCAUCGCAAUCAAUACAAUUCACGAAGGUUCCAACCAGGAACAGAUAUCAAUCAAGAUUGCAAGUGGAAGGUAUCAUACAACAUAAACACAUCCUAAGUUAUUACAUUCAUUCACUUUCAUAGUUUUUACAUCACAGUUUCCAUUCUUUUUCAUCCAAAUGCAAUCUAAGUUAUUACAACAUUUACUUACUACAAGUUUGAUACAUUGUAUUCUUUUCAUUUCCUUUACCCCUAAGCUAUAUAGACGGGGUACUGCUAGCUCUGGUCUCUGGGGUAGGGCGCUAUCUGCAAAACUACGCCCUCGCCUUGCGCCGCCCCGUCGCACACGUGUGUACCUGUACCCACAAAACAGCAACACGGGGGAGAGACUAUUGUCCAUAGUCCUCAGUGGGUUUAGCCACCCAAGAGAACCAGCUCAACCAACAGGUCUAACGAGGCACUGCAACAUGUUAGUUCAACAAUAUACAACAGAUAUAUAUAUUCAAUUGAAAUACAUGUCAUGCCUCACGAAAUGCAAUAUGUAAUACCUAUAAUCAUGCAAGUAGGUUACUUUAACGCUACAUAUAUUCUUAAUCAUUCUUUACUCUUGUCAUUUAAUGUUUACUUUUAGCUCUUAGCUAUUCUUUACUUGUAACCUUUCUUUACUUAUCAGCUAUUCUUAUUCCUUAGCCAAUCUUUAUUCUUUACUUAUUCUUUAUUCUUUACACUUUGUCGCACUUUUCCACUGGCCAUUCUUUCCUAAGGUUUCUCUUACCUUAGUUCUCUAUGCCACCCGACUCGGUCUUGAGUCAAUCAAUCGCGGAUAGUCCGCGCACUGUCUAGCUCGAGGUGAAGGAACUCUCACAUGCACCUCAGCUGGUAACAGCUCACCGUACUCCUGUCCUAGCCGUCUGGCGGCGAACGAAUCGCACCUAACCCAACAACGGCCUAGGUCCAUAACUUAGCCACCCGGCGGCGAAAUCGUCGCACAAACGUCACGACAGUGGUUUAGUCAACAGGCGGUAGGAUCCACAAACUGGCUAACCAUCCGGCGGCGAAAUCGUCGCACACGCCACGACAAUGGUUCAUUAGCCCUUGGGCGGCGAAAUCGUCGCACACACACGACACCACUUUGGGUGUAUCCUUUUAGCCUUGGGAUUCCGGAAUCCAUUUCACAUCACAUAGGGGUUGGUCUUAACCCUAUGGAACUGACCUCUCUAGGUCUAAGCCUUUACUUAACCUAAGUUCACCCAUUAGGUUUAUUGCUUUCACAUUCUUAACUUAGGUUUAUUACACUAGGAUCAUUAUUCUUUCCAACCUAGGUUCACUUGACUCUAGGUUAAGUACUUUUCAUUUCACGACCUAUGUUUAUUAACACUAGGUUAGAUGCCACUCGAUCUAUUUGAUUCUAGGUCUACUCACGACCUAUGUUUCUUAACACUAAGUUAGAUGCCACUCGAUCUAAUUCACAUACUAAUUGUCCAAUUAAGCAUUCUACUCAUUCGAGAGUUGUCAAUUCUCAUUUUCCAAUGUUAUCUCUCUAAUCAAGCUAGAGUUAUCAACCAAGUUCAUAUGCAUAUAUAAUCUCACAAUGCUAAGCAUGCAUCUAUGAUCUCAUAAUGCUAAUCAUGCGUUUAUAAUCUCAUAUAUCAUUUAUAUACAUCUACUUAGCAUUUACAUCAUACUAUAAACAUGCAUCAUAUAACUUGCUCAUUAUGCAUUCUAGCAUUUCUACAUUACAUUAUUUAGCAUUAUGUAACUUGCUCAUAAUGCAUUCUAUUUAGCAUUUACAUCAUACUAUCAACAUGCAUUAUUUAGCUAUAUGCAUCAUUUACAUGCUUCAUUUACAUUUAUAUGCAUCAACAUGGAUUCUUAGUUUCUUAGACAUAAAGGCGACCUAGUCGCUUCGGUAAACACAACCCACCUUAAUUCGCGUUCCGAUUGCUUGUCGACACUUGCAAUCGGCAUCCCGCGGCACCCGUAUCUGGCACGGCCCGAUAUUGCAACUGCGCCUCAACCGUGCUCCGCUUCGCAGCCCCGAAAAUUAUAGGUCUUCGGUUAUGUGCCACGAUGCCUCAAAUCCAUUUCCAUGAUUUUACGACGUCGCCUCGGCCCUCCCGGCGGACCCGAAGCCUAAACGUCUAUUUCUUUAAUAACUUUGUAACGGCUCGUCGGAUUGCCGAACCGUCUUCGCCAACGCGCUUCGUUACCUAGCAAUUAGGUUUACGAAGGGUCAAAUGAGAUCAAACCCUCAUAUUUUGAAAGUUUGCAUUUUGGAGCCCUAUGUUACAACUAUGCAAGAAAUCACUAAAUUGAUUCAUGAUUUAAGCAUCAUUCAUCUAGAUAGCAUGCUAGGAUUCCUCUAAAUCCAUUUAUAAGCUAUUUAACCCAACCAUUAAGGAUCUACCAUUAAUGGGUAAGGAGCUUACCUCCAAGAGCUUGCUCCAAAAUGAAGAAGAAGAAGAUGAUGGUGUUGAUGAUCCCUCCAAGCUUCUUCUCCACCAAUUUCACCUCUUUUGGGAGAGAUUUAGAGAGAGAAAGAGAGAGUUUUCUCUUCUCCUUCCAUGCGUAUGUGGGUGUGUGUCGUGGGUGUGCACGGGUUGGGGCUGCACGGUUGAGGGAGAAGAAGCAUUUGCUUCUUUUACAACUUAACCCCUCAACUAUACACUAUUCACAUUACGGACAGCUUGAAAUCUGAUAAAUUUCGUUGGAGCCCUUCUGAAUGUCCGAUUGAGCUCAAAUUUGACAGGCAUGUUCGGUUUUACUUAAUAAGUCCAAAAAAAUUUUAAUAUUUCAGUUUCGACCCCGUUUGGUCACUGAAAACUGUACCGAACUGCAAUCUUUAUCAGAUAGCUUUCGGAUCCUAUUUCUCUCUCUACGGGUGUCAGAAAAAUAUGAAACUUUAAAUCUAGCCUCAUAAAAAUAUUUCUGACAUCCCCGCAAAUUUUCAUAAUUUUCUGAGACUGUGCAUUUUCUGCUAAUUAAGAGUUUAGCCCUAUUAUAUCUCAUAUAUAGGACUAUCUGGGGUCUCACAAUCUCCCCUCCUUUAAGCCCUGACGUCUUCGUCAGGCUCAGACUCACAAGUACCAGGCGAUGUGAGACUCGUCUCGCUAGCCCGUCAUCCAGACCCUGGCUCAGCUGAGACUCAUCUCACACUUCCGGCUGGUAAUUGGCUCUGAUAACACAAUUCUAAAUAUUUUCCUCAUAAGAGACAUAUUCCCAAGCUUGCAAUAUGAAUAUUUAACACAUGCAUAGAUACUACACAUAAGGCUCUACACAUAGAGUGAAAUAUUCAUGAUACAUAAUGCAUGCAUUUUAAACAUUCAAAAAUUCACAUAAAUCCUAUCUAGGAUGAAAAUGCAUAAACCACGAUGAUAUGAAAGCAUUUAACCACUUAGGAGACAUUUUCUCCUAUUCCAAUGAAGCCAAACCCACCGAAGUUACCGAAACCCUUCGUAAGCUCCGACGAAGGUGUCUACUAGCCUCCUAGCACCCUAAAGAUGUAGGAACAAGAGUUAAACUAACCUUACGAUUAACCCUAAACUCAAUCAUAAGACCACGUAGGCUAAGUUGGAGAAAACUCACCUAUGAGGUAGAAAUUCUCUCACAAACCCCAAAUGGAAGCCAAAUCCCUUCCAAAGCAACCUAUUCUAAGGUUCUAAACCCAUCAAGAGAGUUCUAAAAGCAUCUAAUCAAAAAGCCCCAAAAUAACCCUAAAUCUCAUUUCUAGGGUUUCAUCUACCAUAAAGCAUCAAAACUAAAAUCUAGAGGGGGAGGAUAAGCUACAAACCUCUAAGAAGCUUCAAACCAAGCUCAAAGUCCUCUAGGUCCAAGAAUCUUCCCUCAAACAAGUCUCAAGUCCAAG
rnacentral:lncRNA from 1 species